CCAUUAAUGCAAUCAGGGGAUUUAUUAAGUAAUGGGGGACUAUUUCUUACUCUAUUGCUAUGUCAACCAUCUGGUGGCAGAAAACAUCUGAUUUAGCAGUGACAGAAUAACCAGUUCUGCUGCUGUCACCUGUGUAUUAAUGUGCCUCUUCCUUCACACAAGCCCUGGGAGAUUCUCCCUGAAGCAUCCACAUUUAAAUCUCUUCAUGUUUUUUUGGGGGUAGGAUUUAACCACUUGGCUUCUCACCUCCAUCCAACAGGGCAAAGAAUGCCAGGACCAGGAAGGGAGAUGACUUCCCCACGAAUUCAUACAUCACACUGCCAAAGGGGGCCCCGACUGCAAGAGAAAGAAGGAUGCUGGCACUUGUCCACAGCCUUUCCCUGUGCUGUUGUGCUGCCUGCUUUGUCUCCAGGGACAAGGAGAUAUUUCUUGGACUAACAAGGGCAGUAAAGCUGCAUGGGAAAUGAUAUCCCUGCACAGAACUGAUGCCAUCUUUCAUUCAGGAGAUGGAGAUUCACUGCAGAGAUAGAGCAUAAAUCCUCGGCAUAUUCUCCUUUUCUCUGUUGCGGUGUAAAUCUGCCACUGAGACCAUUUGUCUGGCUUCUGCAUGAUCAAAACCCAUUGCCGAUAACGUGAGAUGAGUACAUCCUACCAAGGAGUUCCCUGGGUGUGCAUUAGAGCAGAAGUUGAAGCCUUUAAAUAUACUUCAUGAGCUGAGAAUUG